UACGGAGGGAGCUAGCGUUGUUCGGAAUUACUGGGCGUAAAGCGCGCGUAGGCGGCUUUGUAAGUUAGAGGUGAAAGCCCCGGAGCUCAACUCCGGAACUGCCUUUAAGACUGCAUCGCUUGAAUCCAGGAGAGGUGAGUGGAAUUCCGAGUGUAGAGGUGAAAUUCGUAGAUAUUCGGAAGAACACCAGUGGCGAAGGGACGGCUGCACAUGGACUUGGUAU
rnacentral:rRNA from 1 species